UUCCCCUCUCUUUCUCUCCUUGUCUUUUUGUCUCUUUAUGUCUAUUGCAUUAUGCCUGAAUAAUUUUCAGUCUUUUUUUUUCUCCCCUCUUGCACGCACAUGCUAAAAUAACUAGACAAAGAUGCAAGGUGGUUGCUGCAGUCCCUGUCUCUAGGACAAAACCAAGAAAGCUUGUGAUUGCAAUGCCACCUUUCCUUUUUUUUUUUUUUCUUCUUUUUUUCUUCCCCAGCCAUGCUUGGUGAUUAAACUUCCUCAGGAUGGGGAAGAAAAAGGAGCUGGAAAUGAAAUAAGGUUGAGGAAAAAUCCCAUUGCAGCAGCUGCAGCCAGUGGUGUCUGCUGCCAGAUGUGCGAAGGUUCCUGGGGUCCUUGUCACUAAAAGGCAGUAUUCAAAUAUUUGGAGACAAAAGCUGCAUCCUCAGUGAUCAUUUUCUUUAUUUAACAUGGCAGCAGGCAUCGUGGGGAAAAAUCAACAUGCUGGAUGUUGAAUCGGACUUUUUUUCCUUUCUGGGAUGAAAGGAUGUUAUCUAUCCCGUGCCAAGAGGGAACUGAGGUACUGGUCUCUUAGCCUGUAAGGCUUGUGCAUGAUGUCUAUGAGAGCAAUUUCCAGCAGAGCGAAGCCUUAUCACAGAUUCACCUAAAAGGUGAAGUGGGUGAAUAUCAGACAGCUCAUUAGAGAGACAUGCAUGCUGCAUUCCCAAAGUAGGAUGACAGAACAAGUCAUGGUGGAUAGGAGUCAUGGAUGUUAAAGGAGACAUUAACCAGGCUGUUGUGAAAGAUCUGAUACCAGCUUUGGUCAAAGGGGACGAGUGUCAUCCUGAGAGUGCUCCUCUCUGGGACAGGAAGCCGACGGAGCGAAGCCCUGGGAACACGCCGCGACACUUCAUAUUCCAUCCGCAGACCUAUAAAGAGAUGAAAAAUGAGCCUUGUCCAAAGCUCUUACCUCAGCACCCAGUGGCAAAAAGAAAAUGUGAGCUCGGGACCAGGUCUCUUUGAAGCUGAUUUUUGCUAUUUUUUUUAAACACUCCAACAGGCCUCUGGUGGUUACAGGUAUUGAUCGUCAGAAAGUAAUCUGUUCAGGUUUGGGGGCAUGCCAGACCAAAUCCUGGAGUACAUUCCUUCCUCUCCAAGGACACGUUGAGCUUUUUACUGUCCACACUGGCAUGCUUGUCAGCUGUGUGGCCUCUUUGUCUUUACUGCUUUCCCUGUCUGUGGAAAGCAUAUAAUUACACCUCUCUUAUACAAAUAUUUUAUAUUGCUACUCUUGAAUUUUCUGCCAGUGCUGAAGGUUUUUUCUACCCCAUUUUUUAACCCUCAUUUUUCUUCUAUAAUCAUUAUUUGAUUCCCUCUGGCUGCCUGCUACUUAUUUGUAGUAGUACCAUUCAUCCAUUGAGACUUUUCCAUCUGUCACACAGUUUUGCUUUCUCUCCCCAGAAGCUUUCUUCUCCUACUGUGCCAUGCUUGAUUCUUUUGGUUUAGUUGCAUGUUUGUAUGCUCUUUUUAGUAUUUUAAAAAAUGCUUCAGUAUUCAGAAAAAAUACAAGAGGAACAAAACCCCAACAUAGUAAAGAGCAGCUUAAAUCCAACACUGCGCACAGAAAGAGGAUGAGGAGACUGAGAUUCCUGGUGAAUUAGGGAAUGAACACAUAUAGCCAGGGCAGAACUUGUGGCCAGACCUUGCUCUUUCUGAAUUCUGUUCAUUGCCUUCAAAAUCAUUCCAAUUUUGUGCUAGAUAAAUAGGUGAUGUCAGGAAAUGUUGCAUUCCCUCUGCUGCACUGACUCCCUUUGGUGUAUUCAUUACAAGGACUGAGGAAAACCAAACAUACUGAGAUACAAUACUGUGAUUUCCCACACCGUGCCAUUCUUUAAGAAAAGAAUGUUUUAAAGUGUCAGUCGCUUACUAAAAGAAGAUCAUGGUCAUAUCCUACAUUUAAAAUUAAAUGAGCAAUUUUUGUUUGCAAAGGUUAGAUAUCAAAGAAAUGCAGCACUUGUUAGUGUUCCCAGGUGAAAUGCAGGAAGGGCUAAAGCCAGCAGCAUAACCCUUCAGAAUGAUUGUUUUUAUUCUGUGUAUGUUCAAUCCCUAUUAAAGCAAAUCUUAGUUUUUGAUGUGAGCAAGAAUAGGAAAUUUAACAGCAGCUCUACAGAUCACUUGUGAUUGAAUCAAAUCUCAAAUCUUUAGUCUUGGAGAGCUCACAAAAUUACCUGCUUCCGAUAAUACAUUUUUAAUAUCUCUUUAUUAAUUUUCUCUUCUUUUCCUCUUAUGCAUCUCAUUUUAUCUUCUUAUGUUCUUGUUUCAAAAGUUCCUGCAAGUUUAUCAUUACUAUUAGGAUUAGUAAAAAGUAUGUGUUUUGUUUUCAAAAAUCUUUUUUUCAGUAGAACUGCUUCCAUUGUUUAUAAAAUUGCAUCUCUGGCUGUAUAGAAAGUGCUGUUAGUCUCCAAGCAAGCACAAAAGCUGUGAGUGUAUCCUUGUGUGAGUGGCAAUCCCCAGAAAGUUUCCUUUGCUACCAGCUACUUCACUUCACAGUUCUGAGAAUGAAGUGGGUGGAAAAAUUCAGAAUCUUCAGUACGUACUUGUAUGGGCAAAUGUCUGAAAAUGUAGAUGUUUUACAAAAAUCCUAUUCAUUAAGUGUUGUCAUGUGAAAGUAAGGGCCAUUCAGACACAGCUUUUAAUUUACCUGAACCUUAAGGUGCUUUGCAAAGGAAAAUAAAUGGUUCCUUUUCUGGAAUAAGUUAUGAAAAUAAAAUUUAAGAAAAUGAGUGAGAAGGCAAAAGAGGAAAGAAUGUGAGAGAGACAAACAGCUCCUGC